ensembl:lncRNA
GUAUGUUUGUGACCUGGGGUGCUUCUCUCUCUCCCUGGCAUUUCCGUUUCCGUUCUGAUUCCUUCCUCAGUUUCAUUUAGAGCGCGUCUGGUGGCAUUGGCAGUGCGGCAACUCGCGGCGUAUUUCGGCUGCAGGUAUGUUUAGGUGCUCCGUUUGUUUACCGUCUCAUCUGUAAUUUUUAUUGUGUGUUGCUCUCAGUAAUUGCAGCGAGAGCAGUGAAUGCUGGCUGGUAGACUGAGCUAUGACACCGGUUGUGAGUAAUAGCGUUGCAUCUAAUGUUUAUUCAAUAACAAUCGUAAGUAUGCCACUUAUUUCUUCAUAUUGGUGGUUAUCUUGUUUUAAUCGUUAUAAUAAUUUGUUUUUUUUAUUCUUUAGUUAAGGGGAAAUUAAAACAUCUUAGUCCUCAUCCUGGCCAAUGAUUUCAGGCAACGCAGCUGCUGUUUUGCUUAGGGACGCAUUUUGGAGUCCGAUCUGCACUUUACGGUCUUUUGUGCUUUAAUACUUUGAGAGUUUACGAAACUGUAAAGACUGAGUAUUUUCUCCGCAUGGGCUAUCUACCCGUUGAGGUUCUGGAUUGUUUUUUUUCUUCUAACCGUAAUUGUUUGUUUUGUUUGUUUGGUUAUAUUGGUCUUUUUUUGGUAUUGAUUUGUUUACCCUGUAUUUUCUUUUGUAAGCAUAUUGUAUGCUGCAAGGGUUAUUUCUUUUUGAGUAUUUAUUGAUUUUGAUUUACGUUUUGGGUGUGGUGUUCUCUGGAUGCUCGAGUGCCAGAGUCGCAACAAAGUGUUUAUAAGUUUCUUUUUUUGCAUGUUUUCAUUUCUAUAAUUUUGUUGAAUUUCUUCUUUAAUGUUAUUUUCUGUUUCUCCAGGGCCAGUGAGGAUCGGGUGGAACUGGGGAGGCUAGCUGCUGUCAUUUUGCAGUGUCACAGUGUGCGGUGUGUGUGGAUACAACUUCCCAUUGGUGUGUGUGAUGGUUGCUUUGGUGUGAAUUUAGGUGGGUUUUUGGAUAACCAUUCUGAGUUGCAGCCGGCCUGCCUGGUUCCCACUAAUCCUGGCCCUGGGAAUUACCUCCCUUAUUGUGGAAAUGGUUUGUGUGAGAGAGUUUUAAAUCUAUGCGUGUGUUUUAUAAUAAAAUCCAAUCUUCUGUAUUCUCGCCCCCGUCUCCCCUACUUUGCCUUCAUUUGGUGAAACUUACCUGUGUCCUUUAAUGGGAAUAAAUUCUCUGGUUUCCCACCAGGGUGGCGUAGUCGGAUAAAUUCACUGAUUAACCUUUCCUUUCAUGUGAUACCGCCACAUUUGCAUGAAAAAAAAAAAAAAAAAAGUCAUAAACCGGCAUAUUUUAAAAAAACCCGCCGAGAACUAAUUCAGCGACUUACUUGUCAAACA